rnacentral:misc_RNA from 1 species
GCAUUUAACUCUGGGAUACUUUGUGAUUAUUCUGUGUAUGGGAUCUAAGCUCUUUUUUGACAUUUAUCAGACUUAUAUUGUCUUUUUGUUUAACAAAAACAAUGCAUUUAUUAAGAAAUAUCAGGGGUUUAACUAUUUAGGAAUCUCUAGGUGCUAAUUAUGGUACUGUUAACUCGUCUGAUAUUUUGCUGUGUCAAGCACUUCUCUUAUUUUUGAUUAUUCGCGUGUUUUUGAACUCAAUUGAGGAAAGUCUAACAUAUUUUGUAUGAGUAAAAUUGAUACUUUAUGUGACAGAAUGUGUUUUAUUACAACUGUGAAAUAGAUACUGGUAGAUGUAUCAAAAAAUGUGAUUUAACCUACCAACAAAUAUUCGCUAUUGUUUCAAAAAAUGAAAAGGACUUUACUAAAUAAUAUUUUUACUUUUCGAAAACAGUGAAAGAGACUAUAGACAAAAACCAACAAUGACAAUAAUCGCGGUAACAGGUCUUGUUACCUUCAAGAAGUUACUAAGUAGUACCACGGAUGAUUGGGUCGACAAAAUGAACCACGUGUACACCGUGACAAUACUGAUCAUCCUCGCCACAGUGAUCACAACUAACCAAUUUGUAGGUGACCCAAUCUUCUGCUGGGUCCCGGCGGAGUUUACAAGCUCGUAUGAAGCGUACACAAAGUGGUACUGCUGGAUAAAGAACACAUAUUUUGUCCCAAUUAGUGAUACUAUACCGACUGACGUCAAUGUCCGAUCGAAUGCUGAGCUUACCUACUACCAGUGGGUUCCACUUAUCCUUACCUUCAUGGCUUUCAUGUUCAAGUUUCCCAACCUACUCUGGAAGAUGAUGAACACCCACACUGGCCUCAACCUUAUCAAGAUGGUUUCCAUCGCUGAAAAGACCAUGUUGUCAUCCAAAGACGAAAGGAAUGAGCAUAUAAAACAUAUGGCAAUUUUCCUUAAUAUGUGGUUCCGAUCGCACCAUUAUUAUCAGCAUAACUUUGUGACACGUGCAAAAUCACGGGUUUCUCGUGUACUUUGUUUUGUAUGUAAUAAAAGAGAAGGAAAGUAUCUAACAGCUUUGUAUUUUAAUAUCAAAGCAAUGUAUGUAGCAAAUGUAAUAGGACAAUUUUAUCUCCUAAAUGGAUUUCUUGGAAUGGACUAUAACUCAUUGGGAUAUAAUGUCCUAGACGGUAUUACAGAAUCGGAGAAUUGGCGGGAAAGUCCACGAUUCCCUCGAGUAACAUUAUGUGACUUCAGAAUUCGCCAAUUGCAAAAUAUCCAAAGGUUCACUGUCCAGUGUGUGCUUCCCAUCAACCUCUUCAACGAGAAGGUCUUCAUCUUCCUCUGGUUCUGGUAUUUCUUUAUCGCCGUCUUGUCCUGUGUUAACCUCUUUAGGUGGUUCCUGCUGCUUGUGAUGAGGAAAAACAAUUAUAUGUUCAUCAGAAAGUACCUGAAGUUGUCUAUAACCGGAGACGAUAAAGUGAUGACAGCCGGAGAAAAGAAACUAUGUCGGAGAUUUGCAGAAUAUUAUCUUAGAGAUGACGGGUGCUUUGUGCUUAGAAUACUUGCCCUGAACUCCUCUGAUGUAAUCGUCGCUGAUCUUAUUGAACAGCUCUGGGAAAUGUUCAAGGAACAGAAAGACAGAGAACUGAGAAGAAAAUCACAGGAGAAACAAGAGGAAGUAGACGAGCACCCGGAUAUGCCGUAUAUUGAUCAAGAAACUGACGAUCAAUGAUAUUAUAUGUUAACAUAUGAGUGCUUGUCUUCGAUUGGUUGAAAACUGUUACGUGUCGCGGAAUAUUAUUAACUUGAACUCAAGAUAUUCUAGUCAAUAUCACAUCUAAAUGAGCAAUUUCAUUGAGAACAUAGUACAUCAACGAGUUUAGAUGUCGGCAUACUAUGCACAAUUGUCGUUACGUCGUUGUAUGGCGUCUUUACAUCACUUAACGACGUUCUUUCUAGUGACGUCAUAUUACGGUUAUGUAGUAAUGAUGUUUUCUUAUGUUAUAACAUCUGUAGAAUCCCGAGGGAUUGGUUGUUUCCAAGACCGGUGGGGUAAGAAUAACAACGUAUCCCCGGAGGGAUUCUGCAGAUGUUAUAACCCAAAACGAACAUAUGUUAACGCUAUUCAAGCACAAAACGUGUAAAGAGCUAACAAAUGAAAAUAUUGUACAUCAACUUCAUUAAAAGUUUAUGAAAUGAACGGCAAUUUCAUCGAUGUUUUUCUAGCACCGUAACAUUAAGCGAAGCGGAUAAGACGUUGUAAAGAAUUCGUCAAUUUAGUCUCAGGAAACAAACUUGAGAUUUAGUUGACUCACCUUUACAUUCUGGAGAAUUUAAAAUGUUUAAAUAACGAAAGUACAAGGCCUUUUAGUUCUUUUAAGCACGUAUUAAACUUAAAUUAGCAAGUGAUCAUGCACUCUUACAAAGUUCACUCAGUGCAUACACUGCGCGUGAGACGUUAAAUAGGAAGUUACAAAUACUGGUUGCGUGAUGUCACUAUAUAAAUAUCAUAUGGCAGCGUGUGUGACAUUGAUAUUGUCAACGCGAGGGCAGAAUGUCACCGGAGGCGAAAGCCGAGUGGUGACAUUCUGUUUCGAGGGUUGAUAAUAUCAAUGUCACACACGCUGCCAUAUGAUAUUUAUUUAAUUAUACCGAACAAAAGUAAGUACAUAAAAGUAAGUAGGCCUACAUAAAUGAUACUAUCGUCUGAAUCACCUGUGUACACAUUGAAUAGUGACAUCACUACUAUACGUGUACAAGGGUGGCAAUCAUUUGGCUAAAAGAUAGAAGCAGUUAUUUGCCCUUAUAUGACAUUCAAAAUAUUAGCGCAGGUCACAUGACCUGACAGUCACUUUCGCUUGGUCACGUGUCAAAAAGUUUGAUAAUCAAAAUAUAUCUUUCUCGGGUUAUGGGAUUUUAUCAUUGUAGACAAAAGUGAGGUAUAAUAAUUAUAGUAUUAUGUUCAGUUCAUUAGGCAUAUUGGCAAAUAUCGAGCGUACAUAUCGUCACACUAUGCACAAUUGCCAUGACGUAGUUGUACGGCGUCUUGAAGUGGCAACGAUGUUUUUAGCGACGUCAUAUUGCAAUAUGUGGGGAAAAUGCAUGUUUUCUCAUGUUAUAACAUCUGUAAAAUCCCCGCGGGACUUGUUGUUUCCGAGCUCGUUAGGGUAAGGAUAACAACAUGUCCCGAGGGAUUCUGAUUUUGUUAUAACCCGAAACGAGCAUACGUUAACGCUAUUCAAGCUUACACGUGAAAAAAAAGGCUAAACAUGAAUACCUUGUCCAUUUUUAUGAAAUGAACGGCAAUUUCAUCGUUGUUCGGUCACGUUGACGUCAUUUAAUUUUGAAUUUUCCGUUAUUUGACCACGCUUUGCACUGGAAGUCGCAUAUGUAAAAGGCGUGUUAACAGAGUAUGAGUGCGGGAAUAUCUUACUCUCCUAUAAUAGCAGUUUAAUGGUGGAAUGUACGGUAAGGCAUUCUAUUCCAACUCGUAUUUCUGUCGUCAUUAUGAAAAGCAAACCAACCAUGACGUCAAGCCUUUGAUGUUAUAUAAAUGAAUGCUUAGCAACGUCAUCUUUUGUGCCCGUGAAUCACGCGGCAUGGGUUCUGUGGCUUAAUAUUUAACAAUGUCGGCAAACCAUGUAUCGUUACUGUUGUGACUUCGAUGUAGUUAUGUCACUUUGGUAAUGGAGCAUACCGUCGUUUCCAUGGUGUCUUCAUAUCACGUAAAGUAUUUAUGACAUCACUUCUGUGUCGGGUCAUUAUCAGUUACCUAUAUGUAUAGGUAAUAGAUCAUUUAUUUAACUUCUAAUGAAUUAAAAAUUUGCGGUAAUGAAGCGCAGCGAAGUCAACGCAAGAACUGAAUCUUUUGAAAUGAUGUCAAUAAGUGAUCUAUAACCUAUUAAUAGUGUAACAAGUAAACUUUAUCUAACCGUAAGCACCUCCAUAUUUGCCAAAUAAAUAAUCUCAUUUACAUAAUCCGCAAUAGCAUACAUAAUUUUGAAAAUAUCUAGUUGCUAGUAUGAUGUAUAGACUUAUUAAAUUUUCAAUUUGUUUUUAUAGCACCGUAACAUAAAGCAAAAGCGUAAAGACGUCAUUGUAUAUUUUGCGUCACUAAAACAGCCAAAAAGCAUCUACCAAAGAACAGUAAGUCAUUGAUCCAAUUACACUUGAUUGGAUGGAGGAUUUUAUACCGUCAGGAAUACGUUUUCUUGUUUAUCAAAAGCGUUGUCAACUUCCGGGGUUGUACAGAAUUCGUCAAUUCAGUUGCUGAGAUCACAGUUACAUAAGAAUUUACAAUGCUUUAUUAAAGUACGGACAAGGCCUUUUGGUUCUUUUAUGAACAGGAUUAACUUAAAAUAGCAUGUAAUCAUGCACUUUUACAAAGUUCACACAGUGCAUACGCAGAAAGGAAACGGAAAAAUACUGGUUGUGUGAUAUCAUAAUGCUGUUUUAUUUCGAUUGGGUUGAAAGGAUUUCUGCAAUGUCAUGAUUGCCACUUUUCUUCAGAACGCAAAACUGUGAUAUUUUCGUAGGCAGUAUUAUUUAUCUAUAUGCUGUGUCUUUUAUGCGACAUUUAUUUUUUUAUUUAUUUACUAUUGUUUGCUUGUUUUGGUCUUUGUUCUGUUUUUGACAUUAAAGUUUUUAUCAUCUUUAACUUAUUCAAGUUUUUUUGUGUCACAUAAAUGCAGUUGAAAUUCGACAUCUUAGUCAUUUGGACCAAGUAGAACUGUUCGAGAUAACUAUUAACAUAAUAAGUGGAUUCAAACAUAAUUGUAUUAGAGUUAAGCAUGGGCUCGACUUAAAAAGUAUUUUGAGUUAUCUAUUUAUGUACAACUGUUUUUCGGCUUUGUUUACCUCUAACUAUUUUUCAGUUUGUUAUGUAUUUGUAUUAUAUUAGUAUUUAUUGCAUGUUUUUCACUGAAUUAUCGAAAUAUUAGAGUGAAAUAUAUCUGGUAUUUUCACAGCGAAAAUAUUAAAUAUAUUUUUCAAUAUUAAGAAACUAUAAAAUGCCGGGUAGAUUUAGUCAAGACAUAAAUUGCUUGUUUUACAUGUAAGAUGAAAAUAUCUUUCAUUCAUGAACGCCAGUGUCUUAAAUUUUCGCUCGAGACUAUGACACUCGUCAAAAUAUUGCAUCAUUCUGUUAUCAACACGUGAAAGAUAUUUCAAGUUUUACGCUGAAACAUACAAUACCCUUCAUUUAUUGGUUUGAAUAGUUUGAAUGGUCUAUUUAAGAUGAUUUGUGAUUAAAAUGCACUAAAAGUGUUUACAAGAAUGGUGAAUGUAAUGUUUACGUAUUAUAGGAAAUACUUCGCAUCAUGAGAUAACAUUUGUAUAGCUGCAUUUCUGACAAUAUCACCAUCGUACAAAAGCCCAGACAGUUUUAUUACGUUCCGCCUAAUUUCGUGGCAAUAUUGUGUGUAGUUUUCUUUCCAAGCUUAUUUUUCUGUAAUGAUGAAUAAACUUUAAACUAUCA